rnacentral:lncRNA from 1 species
GCAAAGGUCAAAAUCUAGAACGUCAUAUUAACCUAUGACCUUGACCUCAAUUUCAAGGUCACAAACCAAGGACCUUAAAUCAAAAGACCCUAGGUCUUUAAUAUGUUUGGUUUAUUAGUAAUAUCACUUUACGCGUAAUUCUAAAUGUAAGAUGGGCAAAAAAACUCCAUUUAUUGUCUGCGCACCCUUUCAAUCAAAAUAUACAAGUAAGGACAUGUCGCAACUAACAAUUUAUGAAAAAUUAUUUGUCGAUAUGUCAUAAGGUAUUUGAAAAUAAAUGAAAAUAAGCCAAAAUCAAAAUUUAGAAUAUGACCUUGACCUUUGACCUUGACCUCAUUUUUAUUAUUUUCGACCAAGGACCCCAAAUCUAAAGACCCUAUGUCUUUAUCACUUAUGGUUUACCAUUUAGAAAUGCAUAUCACUUAAUUUAAGGGAAAAGGGGGAAUAACUCUCAUAUGGAGUCUCCGUAAAGCUUCGGUCCAAAUGAAUAUCCUAAUCCUGAAGAUGUAACGAGCAAUUUGGUAAAAUAAAUUUGUCGUAAUCUUUAACGGUUGCGAAGGAGUAGUGGCCACAAGAAAAACAGUGUUUGGGGAGAUAACUCUUACAACGUAAAGUAUUUUGUUACGCAGUUGUAAAUUUUUAAAGCGUAUAAACUAUACGAUACCAUAUUCCAAAUAUCUAAGCGACAUCUUUUGAAACAUCAAUAAUACGCAAGAAAAAAAAUUAGGCGGAAGAAAAAAAAAAAAAAAAUAAUAAUAAUAAUAAUUAAAAACCAAUUGUUCAGAGAACAAUUGUAGGUCUUUCCACUAGAAAAGAUCUUUUUUGAUAUUGAAAUAUUAAAAAUCAGUUUAAAAUGUUAGUUCCUAUGGCUGUAUGAUGUAUUUAUAUGAAUUUAAAGCAAAGGUCAAAAUCUAGAACGUCAUAUUAACCUAUGACCUUGACCUCAAUUUCAAGUUCACAAACCAAGGACCUUAAAUCAAAAGACCCAAGGUCUUUAAUAUGUUUGGUUUAUUAGUAAUAUCACUUUACGCGUAAUUCUAAAUGUAAGAUGGGCAAAAACUCCUAUUUAUUGUCUGCGCACCCUUUCAAUCAAAAUAUACAAGUAAGGACAUGUCGCAACUAACAAUUUAUGAAAAAUUAUUUGUCGAUAUGUCAUAAGGUAUUUGAAAAUAAAUGAAAAUAAGCCAAAAUCAAAAUUUAGAAUAUGACCUUGACCUUUGACCUUGACCUCAUUUUUAUUAUUUUCGACCAAGGACCCCAAAUCUAAAGACCCUAUGUCUUUAUCACUUAUGGUUUACCAUUUAGAAAUGCAUAUCACUUAAUUUAAGGGAAAAGGGGGAAUAACUCUCAUAUGGAGUCUCCGUAAAGCUUCGGUCCAAAUGAAUAUCCUAAUCCUGAAGAUGUAACGAGCAAUUUGGUAAAAUAAAUUUGUCGUAAUCUUUAACGGUUGCGAAGGAGUAGUGGCCACAAGAAAAACAGUGUUUGGGGAGAUAACUCUUACAACGUAAAGUAUUUUGUUACACAGUUGUAAAUUUUUAAAGCGUAUAAACUAUACGAUACCAUAUUCCAAAUAUCUAAGCGACAUCUUUUGAAACAUCAAUAAUACGCAAGAAAAAAAAUUAGGCGGAAGAAAAAAAAAAAAAAAUAAUAAUAAUUAAAAACCAAUUGUUCAGAGAACAAUUGAAGGUCUUUCCACUAAUAAAGAUCUAUUUUGAUAUUGAAAUAUGAAAAAUCAGUUUAAAAUGUUAGUUCCUAUGGCUUUAUGAUGUAUUAAUAUGAAUUUAAAGCAAAGGUCAAAAUCUAGAACGUCCUAUUAACCUAUGACCUUGACCUCAAUUUCAAGGUCACAAACCAAGGACCUUAAAUCAAAAGACCCUAGGUCUUUAAUAUGUUUUGUUAAUGAGUAAUAUCACUUUACGCAUAAUUCUAAAUGUAAGAUGGGCAAAAACUCCCAUUUAUUGUCUGCGCACCCUUUCAACCAAAAUAUACAAGUAAGAACAUGUCGCAACUAACAAUUUAUGAAAAAAUUAUUUGUCGAAUAUGUCAUACGGUAUUUGAAAAUAAGUGAAAAUAAGCCAAAAUCAAAAUUUAGAAUAUGACCUUGACCUUUGACCUUGACCUUAUUUUCAUUUUUUUGGGACCAAGGACCUCAAAUCUAAAGACCCUAGGUCUCUAUCACUUAUGGUUUACCAUUUAGAAAUGCAUAUCACUUAAUUUAAUGGAAAAGGGGGAAUAACUCUCAUAUGGAGUUUCCGGAUAGCUUCAGUUAAAAUUAAAAUCCUAAUCCUGAAGAUGUAACGAGCAAUUUGGUAAAAUAAAUUUGUCGUAAUCUUUUACGGUUGCGAAGGAGUAGUGGCCACAAGAAAAACAGUGUUUGGGGAGAUAACUCUUACAACGUAAAGUAUUUGUUUACGCAGUUGUCAGUUUUUAAAGCGCAUACACUUUACGAUAUCAUAUUCCAAAUAUCUAAGCGACAUCUUUUGAAACAUCAAUAUUACGAAAGAAAAAAAUUAGGCGGAAGAAAAAAAAUAAUAAUAAUAAUCAGAACAAAACCUAUAGGUCUUUCAACCGAAAGGUUGAAAGACCUAAUAAUCAGAACAAAUUCAAUAGGUCUUUCCACCGAAAGGUGGAAAGACCUAAUAAUAAUCAGAACAAAUUCAAUAGGUCUUUCCACGGAAAGGUGGAAAGACCUAAUUAAAAACCAAUUGUUCAGAGAACAAUUGUAGGUCUUUCCACUAGUAAAGAUCUAUUUUGAUAUUGAAAUAUUAAAAAUCAGUUUAAAAUGUUAGUUCCUAUGGCUUUAUGAUGUAUUUAUAUGAAUUUAAAGCAAAGGUCAAAAUAUAGAACGUCAUAUCAACCUAUGACCUUGACCUCAAUUUCAAGUUCACAAACCAAGGACCUUAAAUCAAAAGACCCAAGGUCUUUAAUAUGUUUGGUUUAUUAGUAAUAUCACUUUACGCGUAAUUCUAAAUGUAAGAUGGGCAAAAACUCCCAUUUAUUGUCUGCGCACCCUUUCAAUCAAAAUAUACAAGUAAGGACAUGUCGCAACUAACAAUUUAUGAAAAAUUAUUUGUCGAUAUGUCAUAAGGUAUUUGAAAAUAAAUGAAAAUAAGCCAAAAUCAAAAUUUAGAAUAUGACCUUGACCUUUGACCUUGACCUCAUUUUUAUUAUUUUCGACCAAGGACCCCAAAUCUAAAGACCCUAUGUCUUUAUCACUUAUGGUUUACCAUUUAGAAAUGCAUAUCACUUAAUUAAAUGGAAAAGGGGGAAUAACUCUCAUAUGGAGUCUCCGUAAAGCUUUGGUCCAAAUGAAUAUCCUAAUCCUGAAGAUGUAACGAGCAAUUUGGUAAAAUAAAUUUGUCGUAAUCUUUAACGGUUGCGAAGGAGUAGUGGCCACAAGAAAAACAGUGUUUGGGGAGAUAACUCUUACAACGUAAAGUAUUUUGUUACACAGUUGUAAAGUUUUAAAGCGUAUAAACUAUACGAUACCAUAUUCCAAAUAUCUAAGCGACAUCUUUUGAAACAUCAAUAAUACGCAAGAAAAAAAAUUAGGCGGAAGAAAAAAAAAAAAAAAUAAUAAUAAUAAUAAUAAUAAUCAGAACAAAUUCAAUAGGUCUUUCCACGGAAAGGUGGAAAGACCUAAUAAUAAUAAUCAGAACAAAUACAAUAGGUCUUUCCACGGAAAAGUGGAAAGACCUAAUAAUAAUAAUAAUCAGAAG